AUGCCACAUGUUUAUCUUUCUUGGCUAAUGCUUAUUAACCUUUCUCUCAUCUUCACUGAACAGGAUAAUCUGUCCUGUUCAGAGUCUGACAUUUUCGGUGCACCCCGUCCCAGCCGCCCGGUCAGGCCCCUCACUCUCCUUGGCUGCACCGCCACCGGGCUCUCCGUCCGCGUCCCGCUAGCGCACAUCGCGGACCCGCAGCAGCUGCAGCUCUCGCGGCUGAAGGGGCUCAGCCUGGGCUACAAGGAGAACACGCCGCCGGCCCUGAGCGGGACCCGCGUCCUGGCCAGCAAGACCGCGAGGAGGAUCUUCCAGGAGCCCGCGGAGCGGAAAACUAAAGCAGCCGCCUCCGGCAUGGAGGAUGAGCCGCUGCUGAGACAAAACCCCUGCCAUUUUGUCAUCUUCCCCACCGAGUACCAUGAUAUCUGGCAGAUGUAUAAGAAGGCGGAAGCUUCCUUCUGGACCGCGGAGGAGGUGGACCUGUCCAAGGACAUUUGGCACUGGGAAUCCCUGAAGCCCGAGGAGAGAGAUUUUCUAUCCCAUGUUCUGGUUUUCUUUGUAGCAAGUGAUGGCAUAGUAAAUGCAAACUUGGUGGAGCGAUGUAGCCAAGAAGUUCAGGUGACAGAAGCCCGCUGUUUCUGUGGCUUCCAAAUUGCCAUGGAAAACAUACAUUCUGGAAUGUAUAGUUUCCUUAUUGACACUUACAUAAAAGAUCCCAAAGAAAGGGAAUUUCGCUUCAAUGCCAUUGAAACGAUGCCUUGUGUCAAGAAGAAGGCAGAUUGGGCCUUGCACUGGAUUGGGGACAAAGCAGCUACCUAUGGGGAACGUGUUGUAGUCUUUGCUACAGCGGAAGGCAUCUUUUCUGGUUAUUUUGCAUCGAUAUUCUGGCUCAAGAAACGAGGACUGAUGCCUGGCCUCACCUUUUCCAAUGAACUUAUUAGUGGAGAUGAGGGUUUACACUGUGGUUUUGCUUGCCUGAUGUUCAAUCACCUGGCACACAAACCACUGGAGGAGAGAAUAAGAGAAAGAAUUAUCAAUGCUGUUCGGAUAGAACAGGAAUUCCUCACUGAGGCCUUGCCUGUGAAGCUCAUUGGGAUGAAUUGCACUCUAAUGAAGCAAUACAUUGAGUCUGUGGCAGACAGACAUGCCGGAACUGGGUUUUAGCAAGGUUUUCAGAGUAGAGAACCCAUUUGACUUUAUGGAGAAUAUUUCACUGAAAGACGAACUUCUUUGAGAAGAGAGUAAAGGAGUAUCAGAGGAUGGGAGUGGUGUCGAAUCCAACAGAGAAUUCUUUUACCUUGGAUGCUGACUUCUAAAUGAACUGAAGAUGUGCCCUUAUUUUGCUGAUUUUUUUUUCCCAUCUCAUAAAAAAAUCAGCUGAAGUGUUAUCAACUAGCCACACCAUGAAUUGUCCAUCAUGUUCAUUAACAGCAUCUUUAAAACUGUGUAGCUACCUCACAAACAGUCCUGUGUAUUUAUAAUGCUGGUAGUAUCACCUUUUGCCAGCAGGCCUGGCUGGCUGUGACUUACCAUAGCAGGGACAAUGGCAGUCUUGGCUUUAAAGUGAGGGGUGACCCUCUAGUGAGCUUGGCACAGCAGGAUUAAACAAUCAUUUAACCAGCACAGGCAGUUGAAAGAUGCAGCCUCCCUGCUUCAACACAGAUUUUAAUGUUUACUUAAAUAUAAAACUGGCCCUUUACAAACAAAUAAACAUUGUUUGUACUCACAAGGCGAUAAUAGCUUGAUUUAUUUGGUUUCGACACCAAAUACAAAGCAUUCUCCUGACCACUAAUGGGAGCCAAUUCACAAUUCACUAAGUGACUAAAGUAAGUUAAACUUGUGUAGACUAAGCAUGUAAUUUCUAAGUUUUAUUUUAGUGAAUUAAAAUACUUGUUAACCAACUUUAAAGUCAGUCCUGUGUAUAGAUAGAUAUUAGUCUACUGGUGCCAGAUAGAAGACAGGUCGUGUUUUUAACCUGUGGCUUGGGUAGUGUCCUGGGAUUCUCUUCUCUGAGUAAAGUGUUGUGGGAUAAAGAAAUCUCUCAGGGCAAGGAGCUUCUUAAGUUAAAUCACUAGAAAUUUAGGCAUGAUCCGGGCCUUCAUAUGUGUGAGAAGUCAUUUCAUUUUAUUUCUUACUGUAUUUUCCCCAACUUCUAGUUGAUAAGAAAAAAAUCUUGAAGAGUUUUCAUAUGUGGGAGCUAAGGCAGUAUUGUCAAAUUUCAAGUCAUCCUUAAACAAAAUGAUCCACCUAAGAUCUUGCUCCUGUUAAGUGGUGAAAUCAACUAGAGGUGGUUCCUACAAGUUGUUGUUUAUUCUGGUUUUGUUUGUGUGUAAGUAGGUUGUGUGAGUUAAUUCAUUUAUAUUUACUAUGUCUUUUAAAUCAGAAAUUUUUUAUUAUGUAUGUCCUUUUAGAUUUUGCCUGUAGUUCAUACUUUAAAAUAAUCACCCAGUGUCUUAUUCUAGCAUUGUCUAAAUCUGAGUAUUAUCUAGGGGAAUCUUAAACUUCAGUAGGAAACCAUGAGUUAUUAAUAUGGUUUCCAUUCAAAUAAUAAGUUCAGAAGGAAACAGAAUUUUUUUUUUUUUUUUUUUUUUGUCGCCCAGGCUGGAGUGCAGUGGUGCGAUUUCAGCUCACUGCAACCUCCACCUCCUGGGUUCAAGCAAUUCUCCAGUCUCAGCCUCCCGAGUAACUGGGACUGCAGGUAUGUGCCACCACACCCGGGUAAUUUUUGUAUUUUUAGUAGAGACGGAGUUUCACCACAUUGGUCAGGCUGGUCUUGAACUCCUGACCUCAGGUGAUCCACCCACUUCGGCCUCCCAAAGUGCUGGGAUUACAGGCGUGAUAAACAAAUAUUCUUUAUAGGGCUACUUAGAAUUAAUCUGCCUUUAUGUUUGGAAGAAGAAAGCUGAGACAUUGCAUGAAAGAUGAUGAGAGAUAAAUGUUGAUCUUUUGGCUCCAUUUGUUAACUGUAUUCACUAUUUGAACAUUGUCCUGUUCUAUUGUUAAGUUUUCUUCAUCAUUUAUGGUAUAGUCAAUUUUUAAAUCUCUGUAAUAUGAUACAUUUUCCCAUCUUUUAAGUUAUUGUUACCUAAAGUUAAUCUAGAUUAUAUGGUCCUUAUAUUUAUACAACAUUAAAAUGAAGAAAG